UUUAUGGAGAGUUUGAUCCUGGCUCAGGAUGAACGCUGGCGGCGUGCCUAAUACAUGCAAGUCGAGCGAACGGACGAGAAGCUUGCUUCUCUGAUGUUAGCGGCGGACGGGUGAGUAACACGUGGAUAACCUACCUAUAAGACUGGGAUAACUUCGGGAAACCGGAGCUAAUACCGGAUAAUAUUUUGAACCGCAUGGUUCAAAAGUGAAAGACGGUCUUGCUGUCACUUAUAGAUGGAUCCGCGCUGCAUUAGCUAGUUGGUAAGGUAACGGCUUACCAAGGCAACGAUGCAUAGCCGACCUGAGAGGGUGAUCGGCCACACUGGAACUGAGACACGGUCCAGACUCCUACGGGAGGCAGCAGUAGGGAAUCUUCCGCAAUGGGCGAAAGCCUGACGGAGCAACGCCGCGUGAGUGAUGAAGGUCUUCGGAUCGUAAAACUCUGUUAUUAGGGAAGAAUAUAUGUGUAAGUAACUGUGCACAUCUUGACGGUACCUAAUCAGAAAGCCACGGCUAACUACGUGCCAGCAGCCGCGGUAAUACGUAGGUGGCAAGCGUUAUCCGGAAUUAUUGGGCGUAAAGCGCGCGUAGGCGGUUUUUUAAGUCUGAUGUGAAAGCCCACGGCUCAACCGUGGAGGGUCAUUGGAAACUGGAAAACUUGAGUGCAGAAGAGGAAAGUGGAAUUCCAUGUGUAGCGGUGAAAUGCGCAGAGAUAUGGAGGAACACCAGUGGCGAAGGCGACUUUCUGGUCUGUAACUGACGCUGAUGUGCGAAAGCGUGGGGAUCAAACAGGAUUAGAUACCCUGGUAGUCCACGCCGUAAACGAUGAGUGCUAAGUGUUAGGGGGUUUCCGCCCCUUAGUGCUGCAGCUAACGCAUUAAGCACUCCGCCUGGGGAGUACGACCGCAAGGUUGAAACUCAAAGGAAUUGACGGGGACCCGCACAAGCGGUGGAGCAUGUGGUUUAAUUCGAAGCAACGCGAAGAACCUUACCAAAUCUUGACAUCCUUUGACAACUCUAGAGAUAGAGCCUUCCUCUUCGGGGGGCAAAGUGACAGGUGGUGCAUGGUUGUCGUCAGCUCGUGUCGUGAGAUGUUGGGUUAAGUCCCGCAACGAGCGCAACCCUUAAGCUUAGUUGCCAUCAUUAAGUUGGGCACUCUAAGUUGACUGCCGGUGACAAACCGGAGGAAGGUGGGGAUGACGUCAAAUCAUCAUGCCCCUUAUGAUUUGGGCUACACACGUGCUACAAUGGACAAUACAAAGGGCAGCGAAACCGCGAGGUCAAGCAAAUCCCAUAAAGUUGUUCUCAGUUCGGAUUGUAGUCUGCAACUCGACUACAUGAAGCUGGAAUCGCUAGUAAUCGUAGAUCAGCAUGCUACGGUGAAUACGUUCCCGGGUCUUGUACACACCGCCCGUCACACCACGAGAGUUUGUAACACCCGAAGCCGGUGGAGUAACCUUUUAGGAGCUAGCCGUCGAAGGUGGGACAAAUGAUUGGGGUGAAGUCGUAACAAGGUAGCCGUAUCGGAAGGUGCGGCUGGAUCACCUCCUUUCU
rnacentral:rRNA from 1 species